UUGUGCACAGUAUUUUUCACCUUUUUAUUUAUGUGAAAUUUUUUUACCAAAACAAAUUAUGUGAAAUGUUUUUUUUAUUCUCCUUUAUUUUUUUAAAAAUUAUGACAUGUAGUUUAUUCACAUAUACGUCUAGUAGAAAUACAUCAAAGAACAAAGAAAUUAAGAUGCAUUGCCAUUUUACUUCGGCGUUAAUUGUUUGUAGUUCUCAAAACAGUUUUUUUUUUUUCUAAAACCCACUAAAAC
rnacentral:lncRNA from 1 species